UACGUAGGGCGCAAGCGUUGUCCGGAAUUAUUGGGCGUAAAGAGCUCGUAGGCGGCUUGUCACGUCGGGUGUGAAAGCCCGGGGCUUAACCCCGGGUCUGCAUCCGAUACGGGCAGGCUAGAGUGUGGUAGGGGAGAUCGGAAUUCCUGGUGUAGCGGUGAAAUGCGCAGAUAUCAGGAGGAACACCGGUGGCGAAGGCGGUGGUCUGGGCCGGCACUGACGCUGAGGAGCGAAAGCGUGGGUAGCAAACAGG
rnacentral:rRNA from 1 species